GGGGACGCACCGGUCUCGACUUGAGAUAGGUCGCUUAUGUGGCAUGCAGAGGUUUCAGGAGGCCUCUUUAAACACCUGAGCACAAUAAACGCAAAAGAUAUUUUUGCGGGCGCUCGUGAGAACGUUGUUCCUAUGAACUUCGUACCCAUGGUGCCACUUCCUUUUGCCGCUUAAUUGACGGCAAACGUUUCAUGCUGAUUCGCCUGUGAUCAGCAAGGAAACGUCAUUUUACAGGCUGGUCUUUUAUGCGCCUGGCAUAAAAGACGAGAUUUCAGGAUAGGCCUUUAAAAAUCCUGACGGCUGGAGUUUUAAAGGAAGAAAACCAAAAAACCUUCUAAGCAUGUAGAGGCAUGAGUGGAAGUAUUUCAAGGACGCGGGUUCAAUUCCCGCCGUCUCCAUUC
rnacentral:tmRNA from 1 species